rnacentral:tRNA from 1 species
CGCUACGGACUUAAAUCCGUCGACUUUAAAAAUCGUGAGGGUUCAAGUCCCUCUAUCCCCA